UCCCAAGAGAAUCACUGCCAAAGUAAACAAACAUCUUCAUGAAAGGAAAAUAAUGUCUGAGGAGCAUUCAGAAUUCCAUGUUUUACAGAAGAGUAUUUAUGGCAACCAACUAGUGAAUUAAAGUGAAAGAAAUCCCAUUACUAGUUUGCUGCUUCUGCUGUGCUAAUCGAAAGUGGCAAUUUCUGCUUGCUUCUCUGCGCUACAGUGCAGGGUCUCAGUAUAAGCUGUAAUUUAAAAUGAAGGAAAUUAUGAGAUGAAACUCUUUUUAGAAGCAGUGUUAUGUUGGGUUUGCUUUUAUUUUUCUUAAUUGUUGGUAAUUGUAUAGAGCUUCUGCAUGUAAAACUCAGGGGAACUGCUAUUGUCUCCAAAAUGUUCUGCGUGUGGUUGGCAAGAACAACAAGCACAGAAGAAAGUUCAGCUAAAAAAUUCAUAAAAGCUGCCUGGUGGAAUGCAUUGCAAUCAGCUGUACACCUUGGUGCUCUUAUCCCUCUGAACUGAUCAUUUUUAGCUGAGAUGAAACAUUCUGAGGAGCAGGAGCCUGGCAGAUUUGCGGCGUAGAUUGUUUGAAGGUUUAAACACUGUGACUAUCUCAUCUUACUGCAAGUCUGUAGAUAGAACAUAAGCUCAAGUUGCUGAAAAGUGAUAGAAUGGCUCUGUGUGCACAGCCUACAAAACUGUGAAGGGCUUAUUUUCUGUGUGCUUUCUGCGUUCCCUCCAGGAGAGCAGUAAUUCCCCAGUGGAGCAAGCACACUUUGCAUUUGUUGAGGAUGAGACUGUCUCUAGUCCUUUGUUUGGGCAGCGGCUUUCACAAAGGGGACCAGUACUCACUGGGAACUUGCCAGCACCAUCAUAUGUUUCAUGACAAAUGCUAAGUGUUCAGAAAGUUGGCACUACAAAAUAGAGAUACUGUUAAUCUCUGUUUAAUUCUCAAAAUGGCUUGUAGGAUUUUAAAGCUUGUGUUGUUGCUGGUGCACUCACCCAUCAGAUAGCAUUUUUAACAGCCCUUCUAAUAUGGCCGGUUAAUUUGGUUAUAUUACUAGGAUGUAAAACAAAAUGAUUCCUAGGAUAGAGAUUGCUAGAUUGCUAAGAUUUUACUGCCGUUUUUUUCCUAUCUGCUGCGUGCUGAAGAACAGUGUGUCCAGCCACAUGUAUUGCUGUAGUCAGACCAUGGUAUUUUCUCAUCUUCUUUCCCAUGUACAGCUCAGACACAGCUGCCGCUAUUUACCAAACACAAAGGUGUUUUUCACAGCUCAGAGAGUAUGUUUGGGUUCUGCUGUAAGGAACGCGAGAUACAUCUCUAUUAAUUGCAUGAAUGUUCAGUGUAUGUUUAUGUACCUGGAUACUGUGGUGUUCUCUUUGGAAUUUUAGGGAGCGAGCUCAUAGAUCUUUGGAUACGUCUCCAGAGACAUGAUGAUUCCAGCGUCAGAAUAAUCUGCUCCAUAACGUGACCACAUUUAGGAGACCAGCUCCUGGGAGGAGACCCAAGGAGACAUCUUGAAAUUUCUGAGCAGAGAGGCUUUUGACACAGAGUUGGUGUACGCCGGAUGGCAUCCAGUUGGUAGCCUGCAUUGCUGGUGCAGCAGGAGGAAGCAAGCCUCUGACAAGAGCUAGAUAUGUCACCCUGCAGGACUGCACGGACAGCUUAAAUGGAGUGUAUGUUUGCACCUAAGCAGACUGUUAAGGCUAGAAUUGAAGAUGUACAGAUUGAAAUUAAGAAGAGUAUUAACUGUAUCAUUGAGACUAAUUAUGACUACAUAUUCAGUAACAGAAGUGAGGUCAACAGCUCCAAGAGUGACUAUCGCAAUAUCCAGCAGCCAUAGCACUGACAUUGAGACUGGCUGGGCCAUGAGGUCAUGCUUCUGGGAGGAUGAAGAGGAAGGCCUGGAUGCACUGAGGAAGAGAGUUGAACUCAACUUUGCUAUACAGCAGAUGAAUAUUCACCCUGGUGUAUAUAUAUAUAUAAAUCUAUUUAUUUAAAAGCAAGUAAGUUCAACUUCUGAACAGUGCAUGGUAACUGUUAGGGAAGCUCUCUUUUUUUCUCCCACCCAUCUUCAUCCUCCUUUUAAACAUUCCUAACUUUGGUCGGGACUCAGAAACAAGAGCUCUUGAGUUCUUCAUGCACUUUACAUCUCUGAUCUGAUGAUCAGUUGUAAAUCAGUUUUAGCUUUGUCAUUUUCUACCAUUCAUGCUGUUGUGAUGAUAACAAAAUCAUGGAAAACCAAUAUGCCUCUUUCACCAUGUACAUUUGGAUUACGAAAAACAUAUUCUUGUGGUUCUUUCUUAGGGUUCGUUUAUAAUAUUUUAAUUAUUAAAAAAUAAAGAAAAGAAAUCAAAGAAAAUCUCCUGCCAUGAAAUAUGUAAAAAGCUGAAUAACAUAGAAUAUUUAUGCUUAAGUAUUUUGGAAAUGCGUUAUCUUUACAAAA
rnacentral:lncRNA from 1 species